CCGGCAGUUUUGUCAAAAGCUGCAGCAAUGGUGAAUAACGUUGAAUUAUACAAGCAUCCAACAACAUGAGGAUGCACUUGAAUGAUUAGGGCAAACAGUAGGUGAUGUGCAGUGACAAUUAGAAGCAACUAUGCUGCAGACAGAUAACAUGGACCAAAGAUUUGAUGAAGUUACAGAAAUCUUGAAGCGACUCGACAAAGGUAAUUCAGAUCAGACCUCUUCAAAUUUGGAAAACAAUAUCUAGAAG
rnacentral:lncRNA from 1 species